rnacentral:tRNA from 2 species
AAAGAAAUAUUUUAAAAAGAAGCUUCUAACUUCUUAAAGAGCAAAAUUAUUGUUCAUAUU